GUUUUGUUCUAAGCAAUAAUUCAAUUCUUCAAGAAUCAACUUGAAUUUACUUUCAAUUUAGUAUAAAUGGAGCAUGUCAGGACACAUAACUGAGCUUUUGGAUUACUGAAACAUCAGAGGAAGGAAUUCCAGUCAACUAAAAUGAAUUGUUUGCUUUUGUUUUAUUUUUGGUGUAAACAGAGUUAUGUAAAUGAUGCUGAAGCAGUGAUAGAUCUCAUAGAAUCCUUUUAAGAUAGAAUGGGUAUUCUUCUGGCGCUUUGUAAAUAUUUUUGACAGCUAUGUUUGCUUGGACUAUCCAAAAUGUUGCUGCACAUGUGUCGGUUCACAUUUUUGGAGGGCCUAGAACCCGCCCAAAGGCGUUUUGAAGAGUCAGAGCAACAUAGUUUGACAGCACCUUGUGAUCGCUGGUAGAUUUGGCUCCCAAAUUCCAGUAAUUACUUCGAUAUCCCAAGGAAUUUUUGGGCAAAAUGCUACCACUAAUGAGUUUGAAGAGGUUCAGUGGGACACGUUUGAUGAUGAUGAGGAGGCUCAUGCCGAUCUUGGUAAUGAGAUCCACGGUGCUUUACUAACUGUUGGCUUCUUGCCAGGACUGGCAAUUGAUUUAAUCUCAUUAUCAAAAACUCGGGGAAAUCAAGUACUCAUGAUUGAUGAUCUCGUGCUCAGUGUCAGGGAACGCUCAUUCUCUCGAUCUGGAUCAGCAUCACCGGUGGGGAUUUUGUUAUUUUCUGAUGAGGAUACUGACAUCAAACUUGUCCUUGAAAAGUUUGAUUAUGCCUUUUCCACUGAGACUGUCAUUGUGGGUGACGGAGGUUCUCAGUUUUUAUACCGAGGUGAAACUGCAAUUAAUCCUUCUAAUAACAAAGCGGCGAGUUCUGCUGCUGUUGCUCUUUUAUUUUCAAGGGAUAGAGGCAAACCUCCUGGUGUUGGGGAAACUCAGUUUCACGUAAUGUUAUCCACUGGCAUUUCAUCGAUUGGGCCUACAUACAAAGCUGUUUCUGUUAGGGAGAGAUCCAGUGACUACUCCACUUGGCUCACUGCAAAAAGAGAAGCAGUUCAUGGAAGUCUGGAUGGUCAGACUAUUUUAGAUCAGAUUUAUGAUGAGCUGGUUUGUUUAGAAAGGAGACUAUCAAAUGCUUACAAGAUAUGUAGUGUAACUAGUCUCGUUUCCUCUUCCUCUGAUUCCUCCACUGUAGUGAAGCCUUUUAAGUUCAGAAUUGUGGGGAGAUCCAUCAAAUGCCAGAAUACUCUUGCCUCACUUUAGCAGGGAUGAGCAUGCAAUGUGUUUAGAGAGAUGCAUUAUGGCAGAUUGGAGAUAUUUGGAUGAUUAGAGUCUAUCAUUCUGUCUUUGCUUAUUUUCAAAUUCCAUUGGUAGAUCUCAAAGAAUGUGGGCCUUACAAAUCAAGGCUAUAAAAAGUUUUACAGAACUUGGAGGUCAUAACAAUUGUCCAGUUCUAUAUGUUGGAGUUACGAAGAGAAGGAAAUGCUCUAUUGGCCAGGAAAAACCAAGCUGGAU